GUGUCAGCCGCCGCGGUAAUACAGAGGGUGCAAGCGUUGUUCGGAAUUAUUGGGCGUAAAGCGCGUGUAGGCGGCUCAGCAAGUCAGGUGUGAAAGCCCUCGGCUUAACCGAGGAAGUGCGCCUGAAACUACCGAGCUUGAGUACCGGAGAGGGUGGCGGAAUUCCCGGUGUAGAGGUGAAAUUCGUAGAUAUCGGGAGGAACACCAGUGGCGAAGGCGGCCACCUGGACGGCUACUGACGCUGAGACGCGAAAGCGUGGGGAGCAAACAGGAGGAUAAACCACAGGAUUAC
rnacentral:rRNA from 1 species